UCCCUCAAUAAACACUGAUUUUGACAGGCUAAAACAAAUAUGAAACAUGUUCAAUUCUGCUGAAAUUUCUAUUACACCAAUUCUCUACCAUCCACACAUAUGAACAGAACUGUAGCUCCAUUAAAACAUACCUCAAUUAAAUCCUUUCUCAUUACUCACAGCAAAAGAGUCCAAAAUAUUAACAUACCAACUACUUAUAUCCAACAAUCAUACUAAACUCUCAACAGCAUAGAUUCGUCUUCAUAACAUAUAAAUAACAGGAGAAAAUCUUAAAUAACAUGCAUAGUUCAAGAUUUACUACAGAAUGUUAAAAGAGUAGAAGAAACAGAAGAAAUAAAUUCAAAUACAACUUGUAUUUAAUCAGUUUUCCCCUCGAAAUACAUGCUCACAAUCAACGUGUUGUCCAUGGUUUGGGAAAAAUACCUGGAAUGCAAUAGAAAAUAAGGAGUUAACAUCAGCAAAUAGAAAUAGCAUAAAACCAACAACACCAAAUAGAAUCAGCUUCUUCAAACCAAGUGAGGAACCAAGAUGAACCCAAUCUAUGGAGCUUCAUGCACACUAAUUGACUAGGAAGUUUUCAGAGCAGAUUUAAACAAAUUUUGAUCAAAGAAUUGUAGGGAAUAUCAGUGUUCUUUCUGAGUUUCAAAGCCUAGUCGUUUUCAUUAUUUUCAGUAUUUUUUAAUCUCCCAAAUCUGACUUGAGAAUGAAGUUACAAUGUCUUUAUAGGCAAGCCUUAGGACAACAGAAAAUGAGUUUAGUUUGCUCUUUAAUCCUUUUUGAAUUUUUAUUUUUGCUCCUAUGCCCUUAGUUUAAAAAAUAAGAUUUUCAAAACAAACCCAAACUCACCUUCUAGGAAGCUUUCCCAUUCAGUUAUUAAGGAUUCCCUAGCCUAAAUUUCCUAAUCUAACCCUUAGAACCCCUGUUUUUACUUCAGUGAACCAAACGGGUCAAAUUGACCCAAGGUUCAAGCUCUAAAAUUGGGCUGGCCAAAACCAGAUUGAAUCCCUUUUUUGGUCUUCUGAUUUCAGAACCCAAGUUUAAUCAGCAAUCACGACUAAUGACUCACAGAGUCAUAAAGACUCAUAAGUUCUUGGGACCAAAGAAAAAUAGAAACAAACAAUAUUUGAACAAAAAUCUAACACAAAACAAAAUUGUGCUAAUUAAAAUAGACUUAAUACUAACAUGCAUACAAAAUGACUUUGAAGAACUAGAAAAACAAGAAAGAAUAAGAAAGAAGAGAAGGAAGCAGAAGAAAAUGAGAUAGGAGAUAGAAAUGAAGAAAAGAUAAACAAAAGAAAAGAAAAAAAUACCUAAGAUGGCUCGGACAGUAAAGAAUUGAAACGAAUCUUCAAACCUUCAAAUUUCGACUGAGUUUGACAUUAAUCGUGUGUUCUUGUCAAGAACACAGGAAUAAAAUCCAACUAGACCCCAAUCUUUCAUUGAAAUCUCGAUUUGGGGAAUUUUGGGAUUUUAGGGUUCGACACUUCAAAUCAAGAUUCGACGGGUUCUGGAAUGAUUCGAGGGAAAAGGGUGUCGGAUUUAGUAUGAGGGAGUCAUGGGGGUUUCAUGGUGUUGAUUUGGUACGGGUUAGAGGCGGCGCCGCCACCGGAUGACGCUAGGGCGGCACUAGGGUUAUGGGUUGUCUCUGAAAAAGGAAGUGAAGUGAGAGAGACGAGUUAGAGGGGGUAGGGUGG
rnacentral:lncRNA from 1 species